CCUACGGGAGGCAGCAGUGGGGAAUAUUGGACAAUGGGGGCAACCCUGAUCCAGCCAUGCCGCGUGUGUGAAGAAGGCCUUUUGGUUGUAAAGCACUUUAAGCAGGGAGGAGAGGCUAAUGGUUAAUACCCAUUAGAUUAGACGUUACCUGCAGAAUAAGCACCGGCUAACUCUGUGCCAGCAGCCGCGGUAAUACAGAGGGUGCGAGCGUUAAUCGGAAUUACUGGGCGUAAAGCGAGUGUAGGUGGCUCAUUAAGUCACAUGUGAAAUCCCCGGGCUUAACCUGGGAACUGCAUGUGAUACUGGUGGUGCUAGAAUAUGUGAGAGGGAAGUAGAAUUCCAGGUGUAGCGGUGAAAUGCGUAGAGAUCUGGAGGAAUACCGAUGACGAAGGCAGCUUCCUGGCAUAAUAUUGACACUGAGAUUCGAAAGCGUGGGUAGCAAACAGGAUUAGAUACCCUGGUAG
rnacentral:rRNA from 1 species